UACGGGAGGGUGCAAGCGUUAUCCGGAUUUACUGGGUUUAAAGGGUGCGUAGGUGGGCCCGAUAGUCAGUGGUGAAAUACUCUCGCUCAACGAGGGAACUGCCAUUGAUACUUCGGAUCUUGAAUGCAGUGGAGGCGGGCGGAAUGUGUCAUGUAGUGGUGAAAUACUUAGAUAUGACACAGAACACCCAUUGCGAAGGCAGCUCGCUACACUGAUAUUGACACUGAGGCACGAAAGCGUGGGGAGCAAACAGG
rnacentral:rRNA from 1 species